rnacentral:rRNA from 1 species
GGUUAAGUGACUAAGCGUACACGGUGGAUGCCUAGGCAGUCAGAGGCGAUGAAGGGCGUGCUAAUCUGCGAAAAGCGUCGGUAAGGUGAUAUGAACCGUUAUAACCGGCGAUACCCGAAUGGGGAAACCCAGUGUGUUUCGACACACUAUCAUGUCAUGAAUACAUAGUGGCAUGAGGCGAACCGGGGGAACUGAAACAUCUAAGUACCCCGAGGAAAAGAAAUCAACCGAGAUUCCCCCAGUAGCGGCGAGCGAACGGGGAGGAGCCCAGAACCUGAAUCGGCUUGUGUGUUAGUGGAAGCGUCUGGAAAGUCGCGCAGCAAAGGGUGAUAGCCCCGUACACUAAAAUGCACAGGUCGUGAGUUCGAUGAGUAGGGCGGGACACGUGACAUCCUGUCUGAAUAUGGGGGGACCAUCCUCCAAGGCUAAAUACUCCUGACUGACCGAUAGUGAACCAGUACCGUGAGGGAAAGGCGAAAAGAACCCCGGCGAGGGGAGUGAAAUAGAACCUGAAACCGUGUACGUACAAGCAGUGGGAGCACCUUCGUGGUGUGACUGCGUACCUUUUGUAUAAUGGGUCAGCGACUUAUAUUUUGUAGCAAGGUUAACCGUAUAGGGGAGCCGUAGGGAAACCGAGUCUUAACUGGGCGAAUAGUUGCAAGGUAUAGACCCGAAACCCGGUGAUCUAGCCAUGGGCAGGUUGAAGGUUGGGUAACACUAACUGGAGGACCGAACCGACUAAUGUUGAAAAAUUAGCGGAUGACUUGUGGCUGGGGGUGAAAGGCCAAUCAAACCGGGAGAUAGCUGGUUCUCCCCGAAAGCUAUUUAGGUAGCGCCUCGUGAACUCAUCUUCGGGGGUAGAGCACUGUUUCGGCUAGGGGGCCAUCCCGGCUUACCAAACCGAUGCAAACUCCGAAUACCGAAGAAUGUUAUCACGGGAGACACACGGCGGGUGCUAACGUCCGUCGUGAAGAGGGAAACAACCCAGACCGCCAGCUAAGGUCCCAAAGUCAUGGUUAAGUGGGAAACGAUGUGGGAAGGCACAGACAGCCAGGAUGUUGGCUUAGAAGCAGCCAUCAUUUAAAGAAAGCGUAAUAGCUCACUGGUCGAGUCGGCCUGCGCGGAAGAUGUAACGGGGCUAAACCAUGCACCGAAGCUGCGGCAGCGACGCUUAGGCGUUGUUGGGUAGGGGAGCGUUCUGUAAGCCGUUGAAGGUGGCCUGUGAGGGUUGCUGGAGGUAUCAGAAGUGCGAAUGCUGACAUAAGUAACGAUAAAGCGGGUGAAAAGCCCGCUCGCCGGAAGACCAAGGGUUCCUGUCCAACGUUAAUCGGGGCAGGGUGAGUCGACCCCUAAGGCGAGGCUGAAAAGCGUAGUCGAUGGGAAACAGGUUAAUAUUCCUGUACUUGGUGUUACUGCGAAGGGGGGACGGAGAAGGCUAGGCUAGCCGGGCGACGGUUGUCCCGGUUUAAGCGUGUAGGGGGUGUGACCUGGUAAAUCCGGUU